rnacentral:rRNA from 1 species
CUACGGAUGCACCAGUGGGGAAUAUUGCACAAUGGGCGCAAGCCUGAUGCAGCCAUGCCGCGUGUAUGAAGAAGGCCUUCGGGUUGUAAAGUACUUUCGGCGGGGAGGAAGGGAGUAAAGUUAAUACCUUUGCUCAUUGACGUUACCCGCAGAAGAAGCACCGGCUAACUCCGUGCCAGCAGCCGCGGUAAUACGGAGGGUGCAAGCGUUAAUCGGAAUUACUGGGCGUAAAGCGCACGCAGGCGGUUUGUUAAGUCAGAUGUGAAAUCCCCGGGCUCAACCUGGGAACUGCAUCUGAUACUGGCAAGCUUGAGUCUCGUAGAGGGGGGUAGAAUUCCAGGUGUAGCGGUGAAAUGCGUAGAGAUCUGGAGGAAUACCGGUGGCGAAGGCGGCCCCCUGGACGAAGACUGACGCUCAGGUGCGAAAGCGUGGGGAGCAAACAGGAUUAGAUACCCGGGUAGUC